rnacentral:rRNA from 1 species
UAAUACGUAGGGCGCAAGCGUUGUCCGGAUUUAUUGGGCGUAAAGAGCUCGUAGGCGGUCUGUCGCGUCGGAUGUGAAAACCCGGAGCUCAACUCCGGGCCUGCAUUCGAUACGGGCAGACUUGAGUACUGCAGGGGAGACUGGAAUUCCUGGUGUAGCGGUGGAAUGCGCAGAUAUCAGGAGGAACACCGGUGGCGAAGGCGGGUCUCUGGGCAGAAACUGACGCUGAGGAGCGAAAGCGUGGGGAGCGAACAGG